GACGAACGCUGGCGGCGUGCCUAAUACAUGCAAGUCGAGCGGACAGACGGGAGCUUGCUCCCUGAUGUUAGCGGCGGACGGGUGAGUAACACGUGGGUAACCUGCCUGUAAGACUGGGAUAACUCCGGGAAACCGGGGCUAAUACCGGAUGGUUGUCUGAACCGCAUGGUACAGACAUAAAAGGUGGCUUCGGCUACCACUUACAGAUGGACCCGCGGCGCAUUAGCUAGUUGGUGAGGUAACGGCUCACCAAGGCAACGAUGCGUAGCCGACCUGAGAGGGUGAUCGGCCACACUGGGACUGAGACACGGCCCAGACUCCUACGGGAGGCAGCAGUAGGGAAUCUUCCGCAAUGGACGAAAGUCUGACGGAGCAACGCCGCGUGAGUGAUGAAGGUUUUCGGAUCGUAAAGCUCUGUUGUUAGGGAAGAACAAGUGCCGUUCAAAUAGGGCGGCACCUUGACGGUACCUAACCAGAAAGCCACGGCUAACUACGUG
rnacentral:rRNA from 1 species